rnacentral:rRNA from 1 species
AGUGUUCGGAUCGCUGCGACGCGGGCGGUUCGCCGCCCGCGACUCUGCGAGAAGUCCAUUGAACCUUAUCAUUUAGAGGAAGGAGAAGUCGUAACAAGGUUUCCGUAGGUGAACCUGCGGAAGGAUCAUUGUCGAGACCGAGACUAUAUCGAGCGAUUCGGAGAACCUGUGAAAUAAGCGGCGGCGGCCGUCGCCGCGAAGCGGCCGUCCCCACCGUCGCUCCCCCACCCCCUGUCUUUGGUGGGAGGGGGCCGCGACGAGGGAGGGCUGAAACCCCAAACCGGCGCAGACUGGCGCCAAGGGAGCUAUCGAAAAACACGAGCCCGUCACCGGGUCUUCGUGGGGUGGAGCGGUGCUGCGCGCCGCACGUACUGACACGACUCUCGACAAUGGAUAUCUCGGCUCUCGCAUCGAUGAAGAGCGCAGCGAAAUGCGAUACGUGGUGCGAAUUGCAGAAUCCCGCGAACCAUCGAGUCUUUGAACGCAAGUUGCGCCCGAGGCCAAUCGGUCGAGGGCACGUCCGCCUGGGCGUCAAGCGUUGCGCCGCUCCGUGCCGAGUCCCCACCAUCCCGCCGCAGUGGGGGUGCCGGGCGAGGCUCGGAUGUGCAGAGUGGCCCGUCGUGCCCAUCGGUGCGGCGGGCUGAAGAGCGGGUGUGUCGUCUCAUUGGCCACGGACAACGAGGGGUGGAUGAAAGCUGCCGCGGGCGAGGCCCGCGUUGUCCCGUGCCGGCCCGAGAGAAGAUCACAACACCCUCCGUGCGAUCCCAUCCCACGCGCCGCCCCCCGAGCGGCGGCUUGGAAUGCGACCCCAGGACGGGCGGGACCACCCGCCGAGUUUAAGCAUAUCAAUAAGCGGAGGAGAAGAAACUUACGAGGAUUCCCCUAGUAACGGCGAGCGAACCGGGACGUGCCCAGCAUGGGAAUCGGGCCGCCCUGCGGCGGCUCGAAUU